GCACCAUCUAGUUCAGUAAGUAGAGCAGGAGACUCUUAAUCUCAGGGUUGUGAGUUCAAGCCCCACAUUGGGCA